rnacentral:rRNA from 1 species
CACGCCGUAAACGAUGGAUACUAGGUGUAGGGGGUAUCGACCCCCCCUGUGCCGGAGUUAACGCAAUAAGUAUCCCGCCUGGGGAGUACGGCCGCAAGGCUGAAACUCAAAGGAAUUGACGGGGACCCGCACAAGCAGCGGAGCAUGUGGUUUAAUUCGAAGCAACGCGAAGAACCUUACCAGGGCUUGACAUCCCCCUGACCGGUAUAGAGAUAUACCUUUUCUUCGGAACAGGGGAGACAGGUGG